ensembl:lncRNA
UGUGUCUUGAAACCUAGUAAGCCGCCUACCUAGACAGCAUUCUUAGGUGUUAAUGCCAAUUCCCGUAUGUGUCUAGCUAGCUAGCUCACUAGUUAUUCUAGACACAGCCACGAACAACAGCUAUCAGUUCACCGUUUCAGCCACCAUUUUUUCUUAUGGCGUAAAUAACUUUAAACGGUGUUAUUGUGCAUUAGUUUGGUAUUAGAGCGCUCUUUUCUUUAUGCCUGGUGUUUUUAGGCAAUAAACAGUCUUCUGGGUCCUGUUCUUCGACAGUGGUUUAACAAAGCCCGGAUUAGUUCACAUAUCCCGGAUUGACCUAGCUCGACCUGAAAUGGGGUUUUUCCGGCUCUUCUAACACAUACCUCGGAUUUACAUAUAACAUAUAGCAGCUGACCGUUCAUGCGAGGAUUUAUGAAUCUGUGUACACUAUAAUUACAGCAUGGCUAAACAGCGGGCUGCAUAUUUCAGCGCUGCUGAAUUGCAGCUUAUAAUGGAAGGAUAUGAAGAAGUUAAACAUUUAAUAAAAACCAAAGGGAAUACUAUAGCGGCUGCAAAAGUCCGUCAGGAUGCGUGGCGAAAAAUAACAGCCAAAUUAAAUGCACUUAUUCUGCUGUUGGUCACGCUUACACUUACAGAUCCAACCCUAUGGGACCUAGAAGAACGUGGCAACAAGUGAAGACGAAAUACAAAAAUAUCGUUCAAAGUGCUAACAAGAGAAAGGCUGCACUGAAGAAGAUGGGACUAAUCCCAACAAAAGAGGAGUACAUAGAUGAAGAGGAGCUGCCCCCUGAGAACAAUGUGGAGGGUCCUAUCAUAGCGAGCAUAGUUGGUGGCUGCUCCUCUGAUCCAGGAGAAACCGCUGGCUGCAGCAGUUAUGUCAAAGUGACUGAACAUGGACUGGCCCUACUUCAGCCACCUGUAUUAUCAGACGAAGAGCUGGACUCUGAACCUGUGGAAGAUGUAAAGACACUAUACAAGAAGUAUCUCAAAAUAGAGAUCUCAAACAGAAAGCAAGAAAUGGCAUACAGGGCAUUAAAAAUGCGCAAAGUGGAGAAAGAAAUUCAGUUACUGGACAGGAAACUGGAUGUAAGUGUGAUAUUUGAUAAUGGGUUGUCAGAGUAA